GUCAACCAUCAAGGCAGAGAAGACACCAAUCAUCCCAUCGACCUUGACUUGGAGCAUUGCAACAGGGCUUUCAAAGAUGAUGUACACACAUACAAGGGGAGGUACACAGAUAAAAGACGAUUCUCAAAGUCAGCAGAAGUGCGCUGUCAAUGGAAGAAUUAUGCCAAAAAUACGACAAAUUGGCAUUCCGCAAGAAAAGUUCGGGAAGGCAUGGAGUUGUUGAUCCUUCUUGGUGAUAUUCUUAAACUUGUAGAACAAUUCCAUUCCUAUGCAGCUCUAUUCAAUGAGGCCAACAAGCCACUGCCACAGAGAAUUCAAGAACAUGCUGAGUGACAUCCAAAAUUGGAUUUCAGAAAGUCUUAAAGUCUUCAGUAGCCGCACAUACUAUAACAUCUGAACCUUUUUUCCCGAUGUGUAAUUCAGUGUCACAUGAUUAAAACGAGACCCUGUUGCAAAGUCGCUAUCACUGUAUGUUUCAUGAUCUUCAUGUUCUGAGUCUGAGUGAGAUGAUGAGCUAUCACUCGAGUCAAGGGAAGUUUUGUACAACUCAAGAAUAUCACAUCUACAUUCAUUACAUGGGGUAUUGCAUGUCCAUGAGUCUCUGCAGUCACAGAGACACUUGCAAGAUAUGGCACAGUUGUCCAUAGCACUCAUGACUUCAGUAAGCUCAACUCGUCGACAUACGUUGGUUCUGACAUACUGUUUCAUUUCAUCCGAAAUAUUCCGCCUGCCACUGAGACAUUGUCUAAAUUUCAUGAGAAGAGCAUGUGCCUGCUUUUCUGGAUCCCUGCCUGCUCCGUCCUUGUCUCUUGAAUAUAAUCCUCAACAUUAUUGGCUGGACCAUAGUGGAUGACGGUUUCCACACUUUCUUAGCAUUGUGUAUACACAACGUAAUUAACGGAUUCUGACAUCAGCCACAUAUCUCGGACCACCCCACGAGUCUCUCUUAACCGUUCAAUUAACGUUCCGCUUGGUGUUGCCACACCUGUCCGCCAUCUGCUGUUGAGAUACUGUAACGGUUCUCGUCUGAAAAGAGGACUUCUCCCACUGCUGGUGCUGUGCUACCCACUGAAGACGGUCCAGGAAACAAAGAAGAAGACUGAAAGGAUACCACUGGGAGUGCUUCAGUGAGGACCUCAGUGACCGUUCUCCAUCACAGUAGGUGCUCAGCGGAGGGGACUACCUCACCCUUGAGAGGCAGAAACAAGCCAAUCAUGCACUUACGAGAUGGACCUACACCAAGUUCCAGAUUACAAGGACUUGUUCCAAAGAUGGAAGAGUUCCAUAACGAAGCUGAAUUUCUAAAGGUUAUAUGGAAACACUUGUACUCGUCCUCCUCUAACAAGUCUGUUUGGCACUCUGCAUGCUGCAAAGGAGCACAAUAAAUGCGGUGAAUGUUACUCAGGAUCCUCAUGACAACUUUUACCCAUGCUCUGAAUUCAUGGACAAGGUCACCACCGCCUACAUCGUAACUGGGGGACUACAUUACUUCCAAAUGGAACACCUCACUUCUGUCCCAACGUCAAGUUACAUGGGUGCUGUUGGCAAUCCAUAUAAAAUGAUUGAUUAUUUUCUAGGUCAUGCAGCAAAACAGUUUGUAGACAAGCACAUCUUACCGGAGGUUCCUCAACAGCCAGGUCAUGGUCUCCAAAUCAAACACACUAGCCUGCAGGUACUGUGGAAAACUGUACCAGAGACCAAAAGCUCUCCGCAAACACGAAGCAUCCGGAAUAUAAUGCUGAAAACAAUCAGGAUUCCACAUCUUCAGCAGAAUCAAGAUCAUCUAUUUAUCAGUACACCCGUCUGUCUCUCAUGCUUGGGCUUCUUCGAAUAAAUCACAACGAUUCCAUUCACAUGGGAGAUGGUGGCAGGCAUGAUGAGACUAGUAAAGUGGUUCUGUUUAUACUACAAGGCAAGCAAAUGUCCAAAGUAUGCAUAUGGUCUCCUUUGAAACACAGGCAAAGGCAUAUGCUCUCCUAUAUGAACGGCAGGCUUUAUAGAUUGAUAUGGAACCGCACAGUCAACCAUCAAGGCAGAGAAGACACCAAUCAUCCCAUCGACCUUGACUUGGAGCAUUGCAACAGGGCUUUCAAAGAUGAUGUACACACAUACAAGGGGAGGUACACAGAUAAAAGACGAUUCUCAAAGUCAGCAGAAGUGCGCUGUCAAUGGAAGAAUUAUGCCAAAAAUACGACAAAUUGGCAUUCCGCAAGAAAUGUUCGGGAAGGCAUGGAGUUGUUGAUCCUUCUUGGUGAUGUUCUUAAACUUGUAGAACAAUUCCAUUCCUAUGCAGCUCUAUUCAAUGAGGCCAACAAGCCACUGCCACAGAGAAAUCAAAAACAUGCUGAGUGACAUCCAAAAUUGGAUUUCAGAAAGUCUUAAAGUCUUCAGUAGCCGCACAUACUAUAACAUCUGAACCUUUUUUCCCGAUGUGUAAUUCAGUGUCACAUGAUUAAAACGAGACCCUGUUGCAAAGU